GGAUGAAUGGACGAGAGUCUGAUCUAGCAACACCGCGUGUGCGAAGAAGGCCUUCGGGUUGUAAAGCACUUUUUGGAAGGAUUAGGAAGGAAUGUACUUCCAGAAUAAGUCUCGGCUAACUACGUGCCAGCAGCCGCGGUAACACGUAGGAGGCAAACGUUAUCCGGAUUUACUGGGCGUAAAGCGCGUGUAGGUGGUUCUGUAAGUAGGGCGUGAAAGCUCCUGGCUCAACUGGGAGAGGCCGUUCUAAACUGCAGAGCUAGAGGAUGGUAGAGGGAGGUGGAAUUCCGGGUGUAGCGGUGGAAUGCGCAGAUAUCCGGAGGAACACCGAGUGGCGAAAGCGGCCUCCUGGACCAUCCCGUGACACUCAGACGCGAAAGCUAGGGUAGCAACCGGGAU
rnacentral:rRNA from 1 species